GUUCAGUAAUCGUCCUCUUUACACUGAUACUUAUCUGUUUACCCAUCUCAGUUCAUUUGUGUUGCUAUAAUAGAAUAUCUGAGAUUGGGUAGUUCAAAAACAGAAAUUUAUUUUUAUUUCAAUAGGUUUUUGGGUAAUAGGUGUUAUUUGGUUACAUGGAUAAGUUCUUUAGUGGUGAUUUCUGAGGUUUUGGUGCACCCAUCACCCGAGCAGUGUACACUGUACACAGUUGUAGUCUUUUAUCCCUUGUCACCCCCCACCCUUUCCCCAGAGUCCCCAGAGUCCAAUAUAUCAUUCUUAUCUCUUUAUGUCCUCAUAGCUUACCUUCCACAUAUGAGUGAGAACAUACAAUUAAAAACAUAAAUUUAUUUCUCAUAGUUCUGGAGGUUAGGAGCCCAAGACAAGGGUGCCAACAGUUUUGUUAUCUGGGGAAGGCUGCUCUGUGUUCCAAGAUGAUGUCUUGAACAGUGAGUCCUUUGGAGGGAAGGAAGGCUGUGUUCUUACAUGGCAGAAGGUCAAAGGGCAAAAAGGCCUAACACUGCAUGGAACUUUUUUAAAAGCUUUUUAAUUCCAUUCAUGAGAGAGGAGCCCUCAUGAUGUAAGUAAUCACUUCUUGAAGACCACACUUCUUAAUAUUUACAUUGGCAGCAUAUAAAAUUUAGAGGGAAUGUAUUCAAACCAUAGCAAUGUCCCACACUCAAAUCAUCCUAAAAUUUCAAGGCCUAUCCUCUGAGUUCAAUAUCUGGUCCAUUUGUGGUAGACUACCCACCAGCACCAUAUAGGGGAAAGUGACACUAGACUUCUUUGGGACUAUUAAAACUGAAGUUACCUUCUCAUUUUCUCAUAGGAGGGAGGAGAAAAAUUCCCACCCUAUCCUCACAGCUGCCUAAGUGAAUAACCACUCAAUCAAAAAUGGAAUCUGGAGUAAAGAAGUUGUGAAACAAGGCAAACAGAAACGCUUUGCACCAAUCCCAUGACCCAAAAACAUGCCGAUACAAAUGGUUCAAUACAGCAAGAUCCAUAAUAACAAGGGUACUGAGUUCUAUAGGAGACUGAAGAUGAAGUAGUUCACUGAACUUGAAGUUCCAUCAAGUUGGUUGAAGAUGUGGAGUGAAAGAUUAUUAAAAUAUUCAUAAUCAAAGCUUGGAGAGAUAAUGGAAAUAUUUGAGGACAAAAUUAAGAUUUCAAGAUGAAUGAUGGCUAGAAAUAAUCAAAUAUCAGCAUGGGCCUGUGACCUUCUGUGACUGAUAAAAUAGUCCAGCUUCCAAAAGGAGAGAAAGAAGACAAAAAGGAGUGAGAAAAAUGUCAAAGAAAUAAGAGAUGAGGGAAAUUCUAACUCAAAGAAAGGGAUUCUGUGAAAGGUGAUCAAACACGGGAGAAUGGCAGAGGAAAUCCCCAGGAAUGAUAACAAAGGGAAAUCUUAAGUUUUGAAGCAACAGUGUUCCAAAAGGGCUAUAUCUUAUUUUUCUUAUUAUAGAAAGUCAAUAUAUAAUAUCCAAAAUUUAAAAAUUGAGAUUUAAUAAUAUAAACUUGUUAUUUGGGAAUAUAAGGUAAAUAUCAGGGGAAACAUUGAAGAGAACCAAAAUGAGUUUCCUCUGGGGAAUGACAAGCAAGAGUGAAAAGGGGUGAGAAUGGGUGGCAUAGGAUAAUGCUGUUUUCUAUUAUGAGCCUUGGUGAAUUAUUAGAUCCAUUAAACUCUGUAAAUGUCUUUAUUAUUUGCUGUAUUUGCUGUAUUUAUAGUGAUAAAUGAUAUAAAUAACUUUUUAAAAAAAACUGAAUAUUUGUAACCACGAUUUGCAUUUUCAACUGCAUGUGAACCAGAAUGGUAAGGAAAUUCUAUUAUUUGUGCUAGUUGACUUACUGGAAGGUGGUUUAAAGAAAUGGCAUUCUUAAAUUGAGAGACAAAGGUCAAAGACAAGCAGUGCCUUCGCUGUUAAAACGUAUAUCAUGAAGCACAAAUCCUUAACGGCAUACAGUGGCAGUCCAUGGGGAGUGAGGAGCAGUGCCUUUGGUUUGUAUCUGUGACUUAUUGCUAUGACAUGACACUAUUACAUUUUGGUUUUUAGCAUUUUUAAAGAGGAAGUAAUAGUUAUGAGAGAUGAAGAACUCAGAAUUAAGUACUGUAGUUAUACACAGAAGGGUAAUUUGGUUUUGAUGUAUUGGCCUGGGCCUGUUAACUAAUAAUACCAAAUUUUAAGUAGCAUCUCACCGGUAUGAAAAAAAGGUUGCAUCAUUAUUAAUGUCUAAACUAUAGUGUGUUUCACACAGGAUUAUGGUAAAGGUCAGGCCAUGUUUCUCUGAAUUAAAAGCUAUUCUGAGCUAUCGCAUUCCUAAUCAACUCAGACCUAAAGGUGCAUAGCUCAGUUAUAAUGAGGCACAAUAAAUUUAAAUAAACUGCAAGAUACUGUAUAGUGAUUUAUAUGUGCACCGUGGUAUCCUUUUAACUCAUUAGCAAUGAAUGAUACUAUGUGUUUGCGACUGUUUUUUUGCUGUAUAACUAUUUUUUAAUCACAAUAUUUCUUAGGAAAAGUGCCUUAUGCUCCCAUUUUCUUUCUGUAUGUGUAAAGUAAAAGGCAAAGGGUGCUCCUGGCAUGUACUCAAACAUGAGUCACAGCAGGAAGAAACUGUCAAAUAUCCAUCCAAAUAAAUUUCACAAAUUAACAAUUUGUAACUGGGCUCACAUGUUUAUGGUUUCACGGUAUAGAAUUGCCAUGGGACUUGGGAAAAGAAAUUGAAGGUUAUGCGCAGGUUUCUGAAUUAUACUUCAGAUUUAUCCUUGUGGAGGAAUUUUAAAAAAUCUAUUGAACACAUUUGGGCAUGUAUUAAGAAACAAAAAGAAAACACUAAAAUUUAGCUAGAAAAUAUUCUGAUUAACAAAGGAAAGGAGUUUUAUUUACCAUCUUUCAUUCUCUUAUGUUCACCCAAUAAUUUUUGUAAACAACAUAUCACUAUAGUUUGCUCAUAUGGCAAAUUUACACAAAGCACGGAGAUUUAAUUUCAUUUAGUAAAACUCUUUUAAAAAAUUUCUAGAUUGGGAACAUCUCAUGUAUGCAAGAUCAAACAUUAAUUUAGAAAGGGAGUAAUGUAAUAGAAUUGGUCAAAUUCAUUUUAUGGAUGACUCAAAUAACAUUCACUUUUUGUGGUGAUCAGAGGAGACUGGCUUAACAUCCUGAGACCUGUGCCUCCUGAUGCUUAAGAAAUGUAUCCAGGUGUUACAUUUGUUUUAAGUCCCACUCUUCAUACUUGAAAUGGUCUCACUAUUGCUGGAAUUGAGUUUCUUUUAAGCAGGGCUUUGUAUUGAAGCUGGAUUUCUUUCCUGGGGCCCAGAAAGAAAUUUCUUCCUCCAAAGCCCUGACCUGGGGAUUUUCUCUGCCAUUCUCUUUUGUUCAAUCCCCUUUCAUUGCUUUUGAGUUUUGUUAUCAAUUACAUAUGCUUCCCAUUUUUUUUUUUUUGGUUGAUGAGUUUUUACCUGAUAUAAACUUGGUCUUGGGCUUAUUAAUUCUAUAGUAAUGUGACUGAUGCUGCUAAAUAUUCCCCAAUAUUUACUUUUCUCUUCCUCCUUUUAGCAAUGGAAUGGAAGUUUUAUCUAGCUAAGUGACCAUUCAACUACUAACUAAUUUCUCAGCCUCCUUUGAUGUUAGGUUUUAUGGACUGAAUUGUGUCCCCACAAAAUUCACAUGUUGAAGUCCUGAUCCCCAUUCCCUUAGAAUGUGACUGUAUUUGGAGAUAGGGUCUUUAAAGAGGUAAUUAAGAUUAAAUGCGGUCAUUAGCAUGGGUCCUAAUCCAAUAUAACUGGUGUUCUUAUAAGGAUACUAGGACACAGACACACACAGAGGAAAGACCAUGUGAAGAUGAAGGAAGAAGACAGACAUCUAUAGGCCAAGGAGAGAGGCUUCAGAAAAAAUAAACCCUGCAAAUACUUUUAUAUCAAACGUCUAGCCUCUAGAUUUGUGAGAAAAUAAAUUUCUAUUAUUGAAGUCACCCAGUCUGUGGUACUUUGCUGUGGAACUCUACAAACUGGUAUACUAGGUGUGGCCAUGACAUUGAGUUUGCAUUGACGAGGUAUAAGCAGAAGUGAUGUGUAUAGAUUCUAGGUCAUUUUCUUAAAAGCUAAGUCAGAAUAUGCUAGGUUGUCUCUUUACUUUCUUACAGGCUGGAACACAGAUGUUGUGGGGGCUCAGCUUUGAGUUUUCAAAUAAGGACAACACGUGGGGCAACAGGAUGGAAGAAAUCUGGGUCCCUGAAUGACUUCAUGGAGAAGAGCCAUUCAGCUAGCAGGACUACUUAUAUCUGGAUUAUUAUGUAGGAGAUACACAAACUUUUAUCUUACUUAAGGUACUGAAUUUUUUUGUGGGGGUGAAGGAGGGUCUUUGUUACUAUAGCUUAACCUUUCCCCUAACAACAACAAAAAAACAUUUUAUAGAGUAUCAGACAAAGGACUCCUACUCUAUUUGCA
rnacentral:lncRNA from 1 species